rnacentral:rRNA from 1 species
UUAAGCGACUAAGCGUACACGGUGGAUGCCCUGGCAGUCAGAGGCGAUGAAGGACGUGCUAAUCUGCGAUAAGCGUCGGUAAGGUGAUAUGAACCGUUAUAACCGGCGAUUUCCGAAUGGGGAAACCCAGUGUGAUUCGUCACACUAUCAUUAACUGAAUCCAUAGGUUAAUGAGGCGAACCGGGGGAACUGAAACAUCUAAGUACCCCGAGGAAAAGAAAUCAACCGAGAUUCCCCCAGUAGCGGCGAGCGAACGGGGAGCAGCCCAGAGCCUGAAUCAGUGUGUGUGUUAGUGGAAGCGUCUGGAAAGGCGCGCGAUACAGGGUGACAGCCCCGUACACAAAAAUGCACAUACUGUGAGCUCGAUGAGUAGGGCGGGACACGUGGUAUCCUGUCUGAAUAUGGGGGGACCAUCCUCCAAGGCUAAAUACUCCUGACUGACCGAUAGUGAACCAGUACCGUGAGGGAAAGGCGAAAAGAACCCCGGCGAGGGGAGUGAAAAAGAACCUGAAACCGUGUACGUACAAGCAGUGGGAGCACAGAGCAAUCUGUGUGACUGCGUACCUUUUGUAUAAUGGGUCAGCGACUUAUAUUCUGUAGCAAGGUUAACCGAAUAGGGGAGCCGAAGGGAAACCGAGUCUUAACUGGGCGUUAAGUUGCAGGGUAUAGACCCGAAACCCGGUGAUCUAGCCAUGGGCAGGUUGAAGGUUGGGUAACACUAACUGGAGGACCGAACCGACUAAUGUUGAAAAAUUAGCGGAUGACUUGUGGCUGGGGGUGAAAGGCCAAUCAAACCGGGAGAUAGCUGGUUCUCCCCGAAAGCUAUUUAGGUAGCGCCUCGUGAAUUCAUCUCUGGGGGUAGAGCACUGUUUCGGCAAGGGGGUCAUCCCGACUUACCAACCCGAUGCAAACUGCGAAUACCGGAGAAUGUUAUCACGGGAGACACACGGCGGGUGCUAACGUCCGUCGUGAAGAGGGAAACAACCCAGACCGCCAGCUAAGGUCCCAAAGUCAUGGUUAAGUGGGAAACGAUGUGGGAAGGCCCAGACAGCCAGGAUGUUGGCUUAGAAGCAGCCAUCAUUUAAAGAAAGCGUAAUAGCUCACUGGUCGAGUCGGCCUGCGCGGAAGAUGUAACGGGGCUAAACCAUGCACCGAAGCUGCGGCAGCGACGCUUAUGCGUUGUUGGGUAGGGGAGCGUUCUGUAAGCCUGCGAAGGUGUGCUGUGAGGCAUGCUGGAGGUAUCAGAAGUGCGAAUGCUGACAUAAGUAACGAUAAAGCGGGUGAAAAGCCCGCUCGCCGGAAGACCAAGGGUUCCUGUCCAACGUUAAUCGGGGCAGGGUGAGUCGACCCCUAAGGCGAGGCCGAAAGGCGUAGUCGAUGGGAAACAGGUUAAUAUUCCUGUACUUGGUGUUACUGCGAAGGGGGGACGGAGAAGGCUAUGUUGGCCGGGCGACGGUUGUCCCGGUUUAAGCGUGUAGGCUGGUUUUCCAGGCAAAUCCGGAAAAUCAAGGCUGAGGCGUGAUGACGAGGCACUACGGUGCUGAAGCAACAAAUGCCCUGCUUCCAGGAAAAGCCUCUAAGCAUCAGGUAACAUCAAAUCGUACCCCAAACCGACACAGGUGGUCAGGUAGAGAAUACCAAGGCGCUUGAGAGAACUCGGGUGAAGGAACUAGGCAAAAUGGUGCCGUAACUUCGGGAGAAGGCACGCUGAUAUGUAGGUGAAGUCCCUCGCGGAUGGAGCUGAAAUCAGUCGAAGAUACCAGCUGGCUGCAACUGUUUAUUAAAAACACAGCACUGUGCAAACACGAAAGUGGACGUAUACGGUGUGACGCCUGCCCGGUGCCGGAAGGUUAAUUGAUGGGGUCAGCGCAAGCGAAGCUCUUGAUCGAAGCCCCGGUAAACGGCGGCCGUAACUAUAACGGUCCUAAGGUAGCGAAAUUCCUUGUCGGGUAAGUUCCGACCUGCACGAAUGGCGUAAUGAUGGCCAGGCUGUCUCCACCCGAGACUCAGUGAAAUUGAACUCGCUGUGAAGAUGCAGUGUACCCGCGGCAAGACGGAAAGACCCCGUGAACCUUUACUAUAGCUUGACACUGAACAUUGAGCCUUGAUGUGUAGGAUAGGUGGGAGGCUUUGAAGUGUGGACGCCAGUCUGCAUGGAGCCGACCUUGAAAUACCACCCUUUAAUGUUUGAUGUUCUAACGUGGACCCGUGAUCCGGGUUGCGGACAGUGUCUGGUGGGUAGUUUGACUGGGGCGGUCUCCUCCUAAAGAGUAACGGAGGAGCACGAAGGUUGGCUAAUCCUGGUCGGACAUCAGGAGGUUAGUGCAAUGGCAUAAGCCAGCUUGACUGCGAGCGUGACGGCGCGAGCAGGUGCGAAAGCAGGUCAUAGUGAUCCGGUGGUUCUGAAUGGAAGGGCCAUCGCUCAACGGAUAAAAGGUACUCCGGGGAUAACAGGCUGAUACCGCCCAAGAGUUCAUAUCGACGGCGGUGUUUGGCACCUCGAUGUCGGCUCAUCACAUCCUGGGGCUGAAGUAGGUCCCAAGGGUAUGGCUGUUCGCCAUUUAAAGUGGUACGCGAGCUGGGUUUAGAACGUCGUGAGACAGUUCGGUCCCUAUCUGCCGUGGGCGCUGGAGAACUGAGGGGGGCUGCUCCUAGUACGAGAGGACCGGAGUGGACGCAUCACUGGUGUUCGGGUUGUCAUGCCAAUGGCACUGCCCGGUAGCUAAAUGCGGAAGAGAUAAGUGCUGAAAGCAUCUAAGCACGAAACUUGCCCCGAGAUGAGUUCUCCCUGACUCCUUGAGAGUCCUGAAGGAACGUUGAAGACGACGACGUUGAUAGGCCGGGUGUGUAAGCGCAGCGAUGCGUUGAGCUAACCGGUACUAAUGAACCGUGAGGCUUAACCUU